GACGAACGCUGGCGGCGCGCUUAACACAUGCAAGUCGAACGGAAAGGCCUGCUUUCCCUUGUGGAUUGCGGGUACUCGCGUGGCGAACGGGUGAGUAACACGUGAGUGAUCUGCCCCCAACUUGGGUAUAAGCCUGGGAAACUGGGUCUAAUUCCCGAUAGGACUGCAGGGUGGUGCCUGUGGUGGAAAACGAUUUUCUAGUGGUUGGGGAUGAGCUCGCGGCCUAUCAGCUUGUUGGUGGGGUAAUGGCCUACCAAGGCGGCGACGGGUAGCCGGCCUGAGAGGGUGGACGGCCACAUUGGGACUGAGAUACGGCCCAGACUCCUACGGGAGGCAGCAGUGGGGAAUAUGACACGAUGGGCGGAAGCCUGAUGCAGCGACGCCGCGUGGGGGAUGACGGCCUUCGGGUUGUAAACUCCUUUCGACCGCGAGGAAGCCACCUGGUUGGAAGGGUGGUGACGGUAGUGGUAGAAGAAGCACCGGCUAACUACGUG
rnacentral:rRNA from 1 species